UCUUUUGCAGGUGAAAACAUUUGUAGUAAAUUGGAAAAUUCAUCAAAAGUUUUGGUUUUUCAUGGAUUACAGCUCAGCCCCUUCAUUCUGAGAAGGAUCUGCAGCAACGUGUUCAGAUUGACUCUUCUCGGAAAAGACACUCUGGUGCCACUGAUUGAUCUUCAGGGAGUGAUCGUCCUUGCCAGAGCACUCCUCAUUCGAGCAGCGUGUUAACGUACCUUCGACAUGGGGAUUCCUUGAAACCGCUUCACAUGAGCCAUGUUCAUCCAGGACAGUAACCACAGAUGCGUCCUCUGUCCUAACCCGGCGGAGACUCCCGACACAUGGAUUCAGACCGGAGUUAUAGAGGUGCUUGGACAAUGACGGCACGACAUGCUCGUCAUUUCCACAGCACUGUGACAGAAAUGCCACUGCCCCACUAAUAAAAAGUCAAGAGGCCACAACAGUAUAAUGGAUGGUUCUGAAUUGGUUUCUAAUGAGAUCUGUAGGAGAUGUCGUCGACCUCAACCUUUGCCAAUGUCAAAAGGCCAGAAAACGUUUUGUGUGUGUCACCUAUCGGGGCUGCAAUAGGUGCAAUUUAGUGGUUGGGGGUUUUAGUCUUGUUGUAUCAUGUUAUACUGUAG